GUUAAAACUCAAAUGAAUUGACGGGGGCCCGCACAAGCGGUGGAGCAUGUGGUUUAAUUCGAUGCAACGCGAAGAACCUUACCUGGUCUUGACAUCCACAGAACUUUCCAGAGAUGGAUUGGUGCCUUCGGGAACUGUGAGACAGGUGCUGCAUGGCUGUCGUCAGCUCGUGUUGUGAAAUGUUGGGUUAAGUCCCGCAACGAGCGCAACCCUUAUCCUUUGUUGCCAGCGGUCCGGCCGGGAACUCAAAGGAGACUGCCAGUGAUAAACUGGAGGAAGGUGGGGAUGACGUCAAGUCAUCAUGGCCCUUACGACCAGGGCUACACACGUGCUACAAUGGCGCAUACAAAGAGAAGCGACCUCGCGAGAGCAAGCGGACCUCAUAAAGUGCGUCGUAGUCCGGAUUGGAGUCUGCAACUCGACUCCAUGAAGUCGGAAUCGCUAGUAAUCGUGGAUCAGAAUGCCACGG
rnacentral:rRNA from 1 species